rnacentral:rRNA from 1 species
AUGCGGCCGCGCAGCCGCCGCUGGAGGCACUUUCAUCACCGUGCGACCAGUAACCCAUCAAUUAUGUGUUUCUUCAAAAAACAGAAAAUUGAUUGCCAUAGGAUGUAUGGUAAUUUGAGGCGAAUAAAACAUGUUGUAGUGUGUAGUUUCCACCAACGACAGAUUAUGUCUGGAUUGCAUAACUAUCGCCAUCAGAAAUAUUUAAUUUUAGGGCUGAAUUACAUAUCAAUAUUUAAUUUUAGGGCUGAAUUACAGAUCAUUGGAAGAGGCAUGUCGCUCGGAAGAUCCGGAUGGGAAAGAAUUUCUUAA